rnacentral:rRNA from 1 species
UAAAGCGUGCGUAGGCGGCUUUUUAAGUCGGAUGUGAAAUCCCCGAGCUUAACUUGGGAAUUGCAUUCGAUACUGGGAAGCUAGAGUAUGGGAGAGGAUGGUAGAAUUCCAGGUGUAGCGGUGAAAUGCGUAGAGAUCUGGAGGAAUACCGAUGGCGAAGGCAGCCAUCUGGCCUAAUACUGACGCUGAGGUACGAAAGCAUGGGGAGCAAACAGGAUUAGAUACCCCAG